GACGUAGGGCGCGAGCGUUGUCCGGAUUUAUUGGGCGUAAAGAGCUCGUAGGCGGCUCGUUGCGUCGGCUGUGAAAACCCGCAGCUCAACUGUGGGCUUGCAGCCGAUACGGGCGGGCUGGGAUUCGGUAGGGGAGACUGGAAUUCCUGGUGUAGCGGUGAAAUGCGCGGAUAUCAGGAGGAACACCGGUGGCGAAGGCGGGUCUCUGGGCCGAUAUCGACGCUGAGGAGCGAAAGCGUGGGGAGCGAACAGG
rnacentral:rRNA from 1 species